CGUGUAGGCGGUUGGGUAAGUCAGAUGUGAAAGCCCUGGGCUCAACCCAGGAAGUGCAUUUGAAACUACCCAACUUGAGUACGGGAGAGGAAGGGGGAAUUCCCGGUGUAGAGGUGAAAUUCGUAGAUAUCGGGAGGAAUACCGGUGGCGAAGGCGCCCUUCUGGACUGAUACUGACGCUGAGACGCGAAAGCGGUGGGGAGCAAACA
rnacentral:rRNA from 1 species